GGCUCCUCCUACCUGUGCAGCGACUUGGAUACCGCGUCACAAAGAACAUGCAAACAUGAGGAAAGUGAGAGCCCAGAACGCCUAGAAUUUACCUCAGUCCCUGGCUGAGGGACAGGAAGCUUUGAAGUGACAGAUGAAGCUAGGGACCCAGAUCCUGGGAUAGGGCAGGCCCAGCAAGGGCCUGAGGGACCCACUGUCUUCCGUCUGGCCAACAAAUUUAGGACAAGCCUCCCUCCCCAUGCUGCAGUGGAGGAAACGGAAGCUUUAGGAAGAGAAGUGCCUUCUACAAGCUCCACGGCUGGAAAAUGGGCAAAGUCAGGACUCAAACCCUGGUGACUCCAGGGCCCCAGGCCUGGGAAAAAGCAAUCUGGGGCUCCCCCACCCGCAAACUGCUCCAGAGCCAGCCAGCCCUGGGGACCAGAGCCUCACGCUGAUGGGGAGCAGCCACCGAGAUGAGGAGCCUGAUGAGGCAGAGGGACUCAGAGGACCAGGAAGAGGGAGAGAAGCGUGAGUAGAGAUCAUCAGAACUGAGAUGGAGCCACAGAGAGACAUGGAAAUAGAACAGCCAGAGACAGAGACCCAGAGAGACACACACAGAAAGAGAGAAACCGAGAGACCCACGGUCAGAGACAUCCAAUGAAGACUGAAUUUAAGGAAGAUAAGGGCCGAGCACAGUGG
rnacentral:lncRNA from 10 species